rnacentral:lncRNA from 1 species
ACCAAGCAAAAGUCACUGUCAGGGGACCUCCCACCCACCAUACAGGGGAACACUCGGCAGAGCCAGAGGCCUGGGCCCAAGUCCUGCCACCAGCUGGCUGUGAAACUGUGGUACAGCACCUUGUGUCCUGCCACCAGCCGGCUGUGAAACUGGUACAGCACCUUGUCCUCAGGUCCUUGGUUUCCUCACUUGUAAAUUCAUGGUUCUCCAUGGCAUCUCUGGUCUUCAACAUUAUUUUGCAUAGAGUCUCAGAAGCUUUAGUGUGAGCGGAUGAUAUGGGCACGAAGCAAGGCACCCAGAAGUGGGGGCAACUACUCUGCUUUCUAAAAUGCAAGGGAACCGGAAAAUCCAGGAGCCGUGCCAAAUGAGAAGAGGAACAAAUGGAGGAACAUCCCAGUCAAGUGACAUUCCUAGUGACAUUCACCAGAACAGAGUCAAGCUUUGGAUCCCAUGUUCUGUGACUUCCUCUUCACCACGCUUCCUCCACACACGUAGCAGCUCAAGGGUUUCUGAUGAGUGGGGUCUAUGUUCCCUUUAUGAGCUGUAACGCACACCAUGAAGGUCUGCGGCUUGGCUAUUGAGUCAGUGAGAGCGUGAACCUACUAUUAGAAGAAAAACUCUGAAUACGUCUGAACGUCAGAAAGAACGAAGUUUGGACACAUUGUCUUUAAGAACUGUAACACUCACCCCAAGGGUUUAUGGAUUCAUUCUUGAAAUCAGUGAAACCAAAAGCUUUCCAAAGUUUAACACACAGGGAAAUGACUUACUGCAAAGAACCACUCUUCCCCACGAGACUUCGAGAAGACCCGCUGUCACGGACUGAGUUGUGUCCUCUUAAAAUUCAGAUGUUGGAGUCCAAACCCCCAGUAACUCAGAGUGUGAACGUAUUUGAAGAGGUCUUUAAAGAGGUGAUGAAGGUCUUUGUCUCUGACAAUUUGCCUCUGUGACGUGGAUGGGACUGGAAGUCCAUUUGGAGCCCUGUCUUCUCCACCUAGGGAGAGAGACCCCAUGAGCUCGUCAAGCUCCUUCUGUGACUGAUCAGAGAUCCCACCGUGAGUCCAGCUCCUGGUCCCAUGCUCUGGAUAUAUCGGUCCCUGGCAGCGUGGCUCCAUCUCCGUAGCCUGCUUUUGACAAAAGUGGAUACAUAAAUCUAGGGGCCACCUAGCUAGUUCUAAUAAGACUUUGGAAGUCAAAAGCUAAAGAAGACCAGGGGACCAAGCUGGAAAUCAGGCUCUGCAAUCAGAUUCCAGAGGGAAUGCCAUUCCACCCAAUCACCUAGCCACAACGGUUCCCUUCCUUCAAGAUGCUGCAUGCCUCUUCAGGCGAAUGGAUUACCUUGUAAGAGUGACCUGAAAAAGCGUUAGCCCAGCCACACCGAGGCUUAACUGAGCCAUUUGAUUCUCACUGCCUCUCUCUGUUGCUUCCUCUUGCUUUCAACUACAGGGUCUUUCUGUUUAGGUGGUGAAAAAAAUGAUCGUUAAAAACAAUAAACCUGGGGACCUCUGAUACCAUGA